rnacentral:rRNA from 1 species
CCCCGCACAAGCAGCGGAGCGUGUGGUUUAAUUCGAUGAUACACGAAGAACCUUACCCAGGCUUGACAUGUAGGUGGUAGGGAUCCGAAAGGUGACCGACCCUUCGGGGAGCCUGCACAGGUGCUGCAUGGCUGUCGUCAGCUCGUGUCGUGAGAUGUCCGGUUAAGUCCGGUAACGAGCGCAACCCUCGCUGUAUGUUAUAUGUGUCAUACGGGACUGCCGGUAUCAAGCCGGAGGAAGGUGGGGAUGACGUCAAGUCAGCAUGGCCUUUAUGUCUGGGGCUACACACACGCUACAAUGGCCAGUACAAUAGGUUGCAAAACCGCGAGGUGGAGCCAAUCCUAAAAGCUGGUCUCAGUUCGGAUUGCAGGCUGCAACUCGCCUGCAUGAAGUCGGAGUUGCUAGUAACCGCGCGUCGGCUAUAGUGCGGUGAAUACGUUCCCGGGCCUU